rnacentral:rRNA from 1 species
CCUACGGGAGGCAGCAGUGGGGAAUAUUGGGCAAUGGGCGCAAGCCUGACCCAGCAACGCCGCGUGCAGGAAGAAGGCUUUCGGGUUGUAAACUUCUUUUGUCAGGGACGAAGCAAGUGACGGUACCUGACGAAUAAGCCACGGCUAACUACGUGCCAGCAGCCGCGGUAAUACGUAGGUGGCAAGCGUUAUCCGGAUUUACUGGGUGUAAAGGGCGUGUAGGCGGGGAAGCAAGUCAGAUGUGAAAACCACGGGCUCAACCUGUGGCCUGCAUUUGAAACUGUAGUUCUUGAGUGUUGGAGAGGCAGGCGGAAUUCCGUGUGUAGCGGUGAAAUGCGUAGAUAUACGGAGGAACACCAGUGGCGAAGGCGGCCUGCUGGACAAUAACUGACGCUGAGGCGCGAAAGCGUGGGGAGCAAACAGGAUUAGAUACCCUUGUAGUC